AUUGAACGCUGGCGGCAGGCUUAACACAUGCAAGUCGAGCGGAGAUGAGGUGCUUGCACCUUAUCUUAGCGGCGGACGGGUGAGUAAUGCUUAGGAAUCUGCCUAUUAGUGGGGGACAACAUUCCGAAAGGAAUGCUAAUACCGCAUACGUCCUACGGGAGAAAGAAGGGGACCUUCGGACCUUGCGCUAAUAGAUGAGACUAAGUCGGAUUAGCUAGUUGGUAGGGUAAAGGCCUACCAAGGCGACGAUCUGUAGCGGGUCUGAGAGGAUGAUCCGCCACACUGGGACUGAGACACGGCCCAGACUCCUACGGGAGGCAGCAGUGGGGAAUAUUGGACAAUGGGGGAAACCCUGACCCAGCCAUGCCGCGUGUGUGAAGAAGGCCUUAUGGUUGUAAAGCACUUUAGGCGAGGAGGAGGCUACUGAGACUAAUACUCUUGGAUAGUGGACGUUACUCGCAGAAUAAGCACCGGCUAACUCUGUGCCAGCCGCCGCGGUAA
rnacentral:rRNA from 1 species